rnacentral:rRNA from 1 species
GAUCCUGGCUCAGAUUGAACGCUGGCGGCAGGCUUAACACAUGCAAGUCGAACGAUGAUUCUCUAGCUUGCUAGAGAUGAUUAGUGGCGAACGGGUGAGUAACAUUUAGGAAUCUACCUUUUAGUGGGGGAUAGCUCGGGGAAACUCGAAUUAAUACCGCAUACGACCUACGGGUGAAAGGGGGCGCAAGCUCUUGCUAGGAGAUGAGCCUAAAUCAGAUUAGCUAGUUGGUAGGGUAAAGG